rnacentral:lncRNA from 1 species
CUGCAGUAGAGAGCUGACAGUUAGGGUCAUUGCAUACCGCUGCCCUCAUUCAUGAGAGGGACAAGCAGAUACCCAAGAAGCUGGGCACAAGGAAAGUGUUCGUGACAGAGGAGGUGCUGCAGACAGGAACAGGCACCCCUGUGUUCAGAAGCCCCUUGGGCUUGUGUGUGGAGCCAUCACAUAACAGCAGGCUUGAGUUUUGAGCUACUCAGCUGAGACAGCAAAACAAUUCUGCCAAUUAAGCCAAACAUCUGGUCAAUGUAGUGAAAAAUCAAUCACGAGGGGUCUGGCCACAGACCCAGGGCUCCUCCCAGGUCCCAGGUGAUGGAAGCGAGGCUUCCCUAGUUCCCAGACCCUAGUUCGCAUGCUCCCCUUUGAUUGACUGGGGAGAUUCACACCUAAUGCAGACCUAAGGACAUCAGGAGAGCAAAGGAGGGACAAAUCCUGUGGGCUCUAAAAAGUGCUUCAGAAUGGAGAGCCGCAUUCACCGC